UAUGGCCAUAUCACAUUGAAACACUGGUUUCUGUACGAUUACUGAAGUUAAGUAACGUCAAGCCUAGUCUGUACCUAGAUGGGUGACCGUCUGAGAAUACCAGGUGCCGGA